UGAGGUGAGACCAUAGAACCCUUUGAAACCAAUUUAAGCAGUGAGGGGAGACCAUAGAACCCUUUGAAACCAAUUUAAGCAGUGAGGGGAGACCAUAGAACCCUUUGAAACCCAUGUCAUCAGUGAGGUGAGACCAUAGAACCCUUUGAAACCCAUGACAUCAGUGAGGAGAGACCAUAGAACCCUUUGAAACCCAUGUCAUCAGUGAGGUGAGACCAUAGAACCCUUUGGAACCCAUGUCAUCAGGGAGGUGAGGCUAUAGAACCCUUUGAAACCCAUGUCAUCAGUGAGGUGAUACCAUAGAACCCUUUGAAACCCAUGUCAUCAGUGAGGUGAGACCAUAGAACCCUUUGAAACCCAUGUCAUCAGUGAGGUGAGACCAUAGAACCCUUUGAAACCCAUGUCAUCAGUGAGGGGAGACCAUAGAACCCUUUGAAACCAAUUUAAUAAGUGAGGGGAGACCAUAGAACCCUUUGAAACCAAUUUAAUCAGUGAGGUGAGAUCAUAGAACCCUUUGAAACCCAUGUCAUCAGUGAGGUGAGACUAUAGAACCCUUUGAAACCCAUGUCAUCAGUGAGGGGAGACCAUAGAACCCUUUGAAACCAAUUUAAUCAGUGAGGGGAGACCAUAGAACCCUUUGAAACCAAUUUAAUCAGUGAGGUGAGAUCAUAGAACCCUUUGAAACCCAUGUCAUCAGUGAGGUGAGACUAUAUAACCCUUUGAAACCAAUGUAUUCAGUGAGGGGAGACCAUAUAACCCUUUGGAACCCAUGUCAUCAGUGAGGAGAGACCAUAGAACCCUUUGAAACCCAUGUCAUCAGUGAGGAGAGACCAUAGAACCCUUUGAAACCAAUUUAAUCAGUGAGGUGAGACCAUAGAACCCUUUGAAACCCAUGUCAUCAGUGAGGUGAGACCAUAAAACCCUUUGAAACCAAUUUAAUCAGUGAGGGGAGACCAUAGAACCCAUGUCAUCAGUGAGGUGAGACCAUAGAACCCAUGUAAUCAGUGAGGUGAGACCAUAGAACCAUUUGGAACCCAUGUCAUCAGUGAGGUGAGACCAUAGAACCCUUUGGAACCCAUGUCAUCAGUGAGGUGAGACCAUAGAACCCUUUGAAACCAAUUUAUUCAGUGAGGUGAGACUAUAGAACCCUUUGAAACCAAUUUAAUCGGUGAGGUGAGACCAUAGAACCCAUGUCAUCAGGGAGGUGAGACCUUAGAACCCUUUGAAACCAAUUUAAUCAGUGAGGUGAGACCAUAGAACCCUUUGAAACCCAUGUCAUCAGUGAGGAGAGACCAUAGAACCCUUUGAAACCAAUUUAAUCAGUGAGGUGAGACCAUAGAACCCUUUGAAACCCAUGUCAUCAGUGAGGUGAGACCAUAGAACCCUUUGAAACCAAUUUAAUCAGUGAGGGGAGACCAUAGAACCCAUGUCAUCAGUGAGGUGAGACCAUAGAACCCAUGUAAUCAGUGAGGUGAGACCAUAGAACCAUUUGGAACCCAUGUCAUCAGUGAGGUGAGACCAUAGAACCCUUUGGAACCCAUGUCAUCAGUGAGGUGAGACCAUAGAACCCUUUGAAACCAAUUUAUUCAGUGAGGUGAGACUAUAGAACCCUUUGAAACCAAUUUAAUCGGUGAGGUGAGACCAUAGAACCCAUGUCAUCAGGGAGGUGAGACCUUAGAACCCUUUGAAACCAAUUUAAUCAGUGAGGUGAGACCAUAGAACCCUUUGAAACCCAUGUCAUCAGUGAGGAGAGACCAUAGAACCCUUUGAAACCAAUUUAAUCAGUGAGGUGAGACCAUAGAACCCUUUGAAACCCAUGUCAUCAGUGAGGUGAGACCAUAGAACCCUUUGAAACCAAUUUAAUCAGUGAGGGGAGACCAUAGAACCCAUGUCAUCAGUGAGGUGAGACCAUAGAACCCAUGUAAUCAGUGAGGUGAGACCAUAGAACCAUUUGGAACCCAUGUCAUCAGUGAGGUGAGACCAUAGAAUCCUUUGAAACCAAUUUAUUCAGUGAGGUGAGACCAUAGAACCCGUUGAAACCAAUUUAAUCAGUGAGGUGAGACUAUAGAACCCUUUGAAACCAAUUUAAUCAGUGAGGGGAGACCAUAGAACCCUUUGAAACCAAUUUAAUCAGUGAGGUGAGACUAUAUAACCCAUGUCAUCAGUGAGGUGAGACCAUAGAACCCUUUGGAACCCAUGUCAUCAGUGAGGUGAGACCAUAGAACCCUUUGAAACCAAUUUAAUCAGUGAGGUGAGACCAUAUAACCCUUUGAAACCCAUGUCAUCAGUGAGGUAAGACCAUAGAACCCUUUGGAACCCAUGUCAUCAGUGAGGUGAGACCAUAGAACCCUUUGAAACCAAUUUAAUCAGUGAGGGGAGACCAUAGAACCCAUGUAAUCAGUGAGGUGAGACCAUAGAACCAUUUGGAACCCAUGUCAUCAGUGAGGUGAGACCAUAGAACCCUUUGGAACCCAUGUCAUCAGUGAGGUGAGACCAUAGAACCCUUUGAAACCAAUUUAUUCAGUGAGGUGAGACUAUAGAACCCUUUGAAACCAAUUUAAUCGGUGAGGUGAGACCAUAGAACCCAUGUCAUCAGGGAGGUGAGACCUUAGAACCCUUUGAAACCAAUUUAAUCAGUGAGGUGAGACCAUAGAACCCUUUGAAACCCAUGUCAUCAGUGAGGAGAGACCAUAGAACCCUUUGAAACCAAUUUAAUCAGUGAGGUGAGACCAUAGAACCCUUUGAAACCCAUGUCAUCAGUGAGGUGAGACCAUAGAACCCUUUGAAACCAAUUUAAUCAGUGAGGGGAGACCAUAGAACCCAUGUCAUCAGUGAGGUGAGACCAUAGAACCCAUGUAAUCAGUGAGGUGAGACCAUAGAACCAUUUGGAACCCAUGUCAUCAGUGAGGUGAGACCAUAGAACCCUUUGGAACCCAUGUCAUCAGUGAGGUGAGACCAUAGAACCCUUUGAAACCAAUUUAUUCAGUGAGGUGAGACUAUAGAACCCUUUGAAACCAAUUUAAUCGGUGA